CAUCUGUAUUUCAUUUAUGCUCACGAUGAGCCCAGAAGCAAAUUACCGUUAUCCCUGCUUUCUGGAUGAAGUUCAGAGAAGCCGAGUAACUCGCCUAAGGGAACAGAGUUGGGCGAUGCAGUCGCCUUGUCCCGCCUGGGCAAGUUCAAGAACCACAGGAGGGUUUCUUGGCUAUGUUCUGGAUAUUGAGAUUACUAAAUGGAGAAGAUAGAAGCCAUGGUUCCAAGGAGGGCAUGGGACAUAUCAGGGGAACUCGGUCCAGCUGGAGCGGCGUGCUUCCUCCCGGGCCAGGGCUGCGGCAGUGGCCGACCGUCCCUGGCCAGAGCUGCUCAACCCCCGCCGGCAGCGCCCACUCCCCCCAGGGACUACCGGACCCGGGCCAGGGACAGCAGACACCUAGGCUGAGCCUGGAACUAGACAGCCCCCGACCUCCGCAGCGCGCACGCUGUAGUCUCGCCUCACCCCACCCGCCACCCGUCUUCAGUGUCUCCUCGCGCCUUCUCCCCAGGGUCUGCGCCGGUCCUCCACACCUUCACACAGGUCUCGGUCUGUGCUGUAACACCGGCCUCAUUCCCGGCGCUCGGCUCGGGUCAACGUCUGCUGAGCUUCCAGAGGAAGCUCAUUCACCGCAUAGUUGGAUAGGGGAGGAGUUGGGGCGGGGG
ensembl:lncRNA